ACUAUUCUUAGUGCCAUUCUGAAACUUAUUUGUAGUUUAAUGAGGUCUCUAGACUAUAGAAACAGAUGAUACAUGGUUUCUGAUACUUAAAUACUAGCAUGAUACUUUCAAAUACCAUCUAAUUUUGCUCCUAAAAAAUCUACUUGUGACAUUGGUUUCAAGUUUUAUACAUAAGAACAUAAACUUGCAGCUAUUUCUACAGCUGUUAUCAUCCAUGAAUUUGCCACAAACUUUAAAAUAGUUGAGGCAGUCAUAAUUAUUUUGUAUAAUACUUAAAAAAUACAGCUUGGAGGCAGGAAGUGGGAAGCUCCAGGUUUUGCAGGAAUAAUUGAUAGUUCCACAUAUGAGUUUGCCUGGGCUGCCUUAAACAACGGACUACAAACCAGGUGGUAUGGACAACAGAAAUUUAUUUCUCAUAGUUCUGCAAGUCUAAGCCCAAAAGUCAAAGUGUUGGUAGGAUUCCUUCAUUCUGAAGGCUGAGAGGGAAGGAUCUGCUCCAGGGCCUACUGUGACUUGCAUUUAGCUGUCAUAUUUAAGUGGAAUUUUUCUUGUAUGCAUGUCUGUGUCCAAAUCUCCCCUUUUUAGGAGGACACCAGUUAUGUUAGAUUAGGGUGCCCAAAUGACUUGACUUGAUUUAGUUUUUAACAAAUAGCAGCAUUUUAUUUAUUAUUUAUUUAUUUGAAAGAUGAAAAGGCCAAGAGACACAUAGAAAGAGGGAGAGCUUCCAUCUCCUAGUUCAUUCACAAAUGCCUACAACAUCAUGUGCUGAGCCAGGCAAAAGCCAGGAGCUAGGGACAAACUAGGUGACAAAGAUCCAGACACUUGAGCAAUCACCUGCUACCUCCCAAAGUGUGCCAUAGAAGGAAGAUGAAUCAAAACAGAGCUGCAGCUUUGUUGCCUUGACAUCCACACGCAAGAGUUAUUGGUAUCAAACCAAGCAAUAUGAAAAGCUAUCAUGCACUUCUCAGAGUUUCCACGGUUCAAAGCUGUGUUGGCGACCUGCCAGCCCUGACAGAUGAACUGCGCCCCGAUGUGUGAUCAAUGGACCUUGAAUCUAAAAAUCCCACAGUAAUCAGAAAAAUGUAGCUGGAUUUUUGUUUCUGUUCCAGAUCUAUCUUCACAUGAGACUUAAUUGCUACUUUUAAAGAAAACAUUUUGGUACCAUGGUAUUUUAAGAAAAAAUGCAAAUUGAGUGGAAGUUAUACUUGAAUAAAAGUAAACAAGAAGAAGAUAAAUAUCUGCUCCUUAAUUCUACCAAUUGCAAACAGCCAUUUUAACAUCUUGGUGAAUA